UGACUCAGUAUCUUUACUAACAUCUUUGC
rnacentral:sRNA from 1 species